ensembl:lncRNA
GGAAGGCCGGGGCCUCCCGGGGCCCUCCCGGGGCUUUCCGGGCUCCCAACAUCUGGGGAGGGCAGGAAGGGCUGGGUGGGCACAUCUGGAUCCGACUCUGACCCCUCCUCCACAUCUGGAUCCGACUCUGACCCCUCCUCCACAUCUGGAUCCGACUCCUCCUCCACAUCUGGAAUUCCGGGGGGUUCCUCCUCCCCCUCCACAUCUGGAAUUGGGGGCGGCAGGAACAGCUGGGUGGCCACAUCUGGAUCCCACCCCUCCCCUCCCGCCGCCACAUCUGGAGCCCCGGGCAGCCCCGGGGCCAUCCGCCGCCUCUUGGGGGGGCGAACAUCUGGAUCCUCCUCCUCCUCCUCCUCCACAUCUGUCUCGGGGACGGCCACAUCUGGAUCCCCGGCCGCGUUUUGGGGCGUUCCGGGCCUUUUUGGGGGCUCCACAUCUGGAUCCUCCUCCACGUCUGUGUCGCUCUCCACCCGGCACCGGAUUUUGGGGCUGGCAACAUCUGGAUUUGGCUUUGCGGCCACAUCUGGAGUUUCUGGGAUGUUUUGGGUCAUUUUUGGGGGCUCCACAUCUGGAUCUGUGGCCACAUCUGGAGUUCCUGGGAGGUUUUGGGUCAUUUUGAGCCUUUUUGGGGGCUCCACAUCUGGAUCUGCGGCCACAUCUGGAAUUUCUGGGAGGUUUUGGGUCAUUUUUGGGGGCUCCACAUCUGGAUCCUCCUCCACGUCUGUGUCACUCUCCACCCGGCACCGGAUUUUGGGGCCGGCAACAUCUGGAUCUGCGGCCACAUCUGGAGUUUCUGGGACCUUUUGGGUCAUUCUGAGGGGCUCCACAUCUGGAUCUGCGGCCACA